CCCGAAAGGNCGAAGGGUGAAAUUCAUAUGCGCCUGCAGCAGGAGGCUGGUGGAGUGAGUGACGGGUGGCGUUCGCGUCGCACGCGCCCUCUGCCAGUCGAGCCGGCAGCAGACGCGUGCACUUUUCACCUGGUAGGACGCCGCGAUUCGUUGGGUGUCGGUCUACGGUNCGUGGUGGAGCCCGUCUGGACGUACGUGCCGGAUGGACCCGCGUGACCUGGCCGGCUUGCUCGACGGUAUCAGAACGGUUGGUGGCCGCUUUUACNANCGUCCGACCCGUGGCAAGCACGUCAGACCAGUCGGUGAUCGGACCUANUGCCGGUUCUGACUACUGGCGACUGUUGGCUGCGGUGUUCUUGGACAGACCACUCAUCUAAAAACCGAUCAGCGACGCUAUAGCUUUGGGUACUUUCAGGACCCGUCUUGAAACACGGACCAAGGAGUCUAGCAUGUGCGCGAGUCAUUGGGAUCUAUACGAAACCUAAAGGCGCAAUGAAAGUAAAGAUUUCUGCUUGCAGAGAUCGAGGGAAGAUGGGUGGAUGGCCCUUAAAAGCCACCGCUCAGCACUCCCGGGGCGUCUCAUUCUCAUUGCGAGAGGAGGCGCACCAUAAGCGUACACGCUGGGACCCGAAAGAUGGUGAACUAUGCCUGGU
rnacentral:rRNA from 1 species